AUUCUACUCCCUCCGUUGCACAAUACAUGCCUUCUAUUUGUCAAAAUAUAUAUGUAUCUAGACAUGUUUUAGUAUAUAGGUACAUCCAUUUUUGGAAAAAUGGAAGUCAAGUAUUUUGGAACGGAGGGAGUACACA
rfam:Triticum aestivum genome assembly, contig: Triticum_aestivum_CS42_TGACv1_scaffold_003455_1AL